GACGAACGCUGGCGGCGUGCUUAACACAUGCAAGUCGAACGCUGAAGCUCAGCUUUUGUUGGGUGGAUGAGUGGCGAACGGGUGAGUAACACGUGAGUAACCUGCCCCCUUCUUUGGGAUAACGCCCGGAAACGGGUGCUAAUACUGGAUAUUCACUGGUCUUCGCAUGGGGGUUGGUGGAAAGGGUUUUUCUGGUGGGGGAUGGGCUCGCGGCCUAUCAGCUUGUUGGUGGGGUGAUGGCCUACCAAGGCUUUGACGGGUAGCCGGCCUGAGAGGGUGACCGGGCACAUUGGGACUGAGAUACGGCCCAGACUACUACGGGAGGCAGCAGUGGGGAAUAAUGCACAAUGGGCGCAAGCCUGAUGCAGCGACGCAGCGUGAGGGAUGGAGGCCUUCGGGUUGUGAACCUCUUUCGCUCAUGGUCAAGCCGCAACAAUGGUUGUGGUGAGGGUAGUGGGUAAAGAAGCGCCGGCUAACUACGUG
rnacentral:rRNA from 1 species